GCCCGGCCAACGAGUCCCAAAUAAGACGAAACUCGCGUCCUGGAU
rfam:Schistosoma rodhaini strain Burundi genome assembly, scaffold: SROB_scaffold0007066